rfam:Marine metagenome 190232, whole genome shotgun sequence.
AAUCGUCCGAUCUACCAUCUGAUAGACCGCAGUUCGACUCAAGCCAUAGGACGGGGACUUGAG